rnacentral:rRNA from 1 species
CUGACCUACGGGGGGCAGCAGUCGGGAAUAUUGCGCAAUGGAGGAAACUCUGACGCAGUGACGCCGCGUAUAGGAAGAAGGUUUUCGGAUUGUAAACUAUUGUCGUUAGGGAAGAUAAAAGACUGUACCUAAGGAGGAAGCCCCGGCUAAUUACGUGCCAGCAGCCGCGGUAAUACGUAGGGGGCAAGCGUUAUCCGGAUUUACUGGGUGUAAAGGGAGCGUAGACGGCAUGGCAAGUCAGAUGUGAAAGCCCGGGGCUCAACCCCGGGACUGCAUUUGAAACUGUCAGGCUGGAGUGCAGGAGG